UACGUAGGGUGCAAGCGUUAUCCGGAUUCACUGGGUUUAAAGGGUGCGUAGGCGGGCAGGUAAGUCAGUGGUGAAAUCUCCGAGCUUAACUCGGAAACUGCCAUUGAUACUAUUUGUCUUGAAUAUUGUGGAGGUAAGCGGAAUAUGUCAUGUAGCGGUGAAGUGCUUAGAUAUGACAUAGAACACCAAUUGCGAAGGCAGCUUACUACACAAUGAUUGACGCUGAGGCACGAAAGCGUGGGGAUCAAACAGG
rnacentral:rRNA from 1 species